GUAGGGUCCAAGCGUUAAUCGGAAUUACUGGGCGUAAGGCGUGCGCAGGCGGUUGUGCAAGACCGAUGUGAAAUCCCCGGGCUUAACCUGGGAAUUGCAUUGGUGACUGCACGGCUAGAGUGUGUCAGAGGGGGGUAGAAUUCCACGUGUAGCAGUGAAAUGCGUAGAGAUGUGGAGGAAUACCGAUGGCGAAGGCAGCCCCCUGGGAUAACACUGACGCUCAUGCACGAAAGCGUGGGGGGGAGCAAACAGGAUUAGAUACCCUGGUAGUCCACGCCCUAAACGAUGUCAACUAGUUGUUGGGGAUUCAUUUCCUUAGUAACGUAGCUAACGCGUGAAGUUGACCGCCUGGGGAUACGGUCGCAAGAUUA
rnacentral:rRNA from 1 species